rnacentral:pre_miRNA from 8 species
UGGAGCGGGGGGGCAGGAGGGGCUCAGGGAGAUAGUGUGUGCUGCCCCUGGCCCUCUCUGCCCUUCCGUCCCCUGUUCCUGAAC